AUUUAACCUAUUUUAUACUUGCUCUCUUGGUGAUCAUUGUCAUCCUGUUGGGAAUUGGAUUUGCUGGGCAGUGUAGGUGGCUUCGUGCUACAUAAAGAGUUUCGCAUGCCCGGUCAUAGGACAUGCAGGUUCAAUGCCAACAGCCUAACUCUAGGGUUUGUUGUUGUGGGCUAUCUAGUUUGUAUUGUGGUCUUGGACUUUGUA
rnacentral:misc_RNA from 1 species